GUGGGACUGGUGGGACUAGGGGCAGUGGGACUAGUGGCGGUGGGACUAGGGGCGGAACAAGUGGCGGCGGCGGAGGUGGUGUGACGGGUCGUGCGGAUAGUGGUGGCUCAAGUGGAGAGGAGGAGGGUCUUCUCCCACAAUUGGAUGGAUCGAUGGACAUAAUUUAUAAUCGGAAAAGAAAAGCAUGCACUAUGAGACGUAAUAAUAAAAAAAGAAGAACUAUAUGAAUCCCCUGUUUUCGACCCAUGAAGGGACACACAAGGCAGUGCUCGACAUUGGUUGAUCAGGUUUUGUUGAUGGGUAGGGGAAGGUUUGGAUCAUAACGAUAAGGGUAGUGGG